UCCCACCUGAAAGUGAAAAUGCUGCUACUAGUGUGUAAAGAGGAGGAAGUGAGAGAAGUUCAAACCCAGAUCAGAGAGGAGGAGGAGAGAUUCAGGGAGGAGCUGAGCUGUUACUGAACUAGAAGAGAGAGAAACCUCCACAUUCAACAGAGUUCAGCACACAAACCAUAAACUUUACCUUCAUUCAACAUGUUGUCUUUGGACUAUUAUGCACUUUCUUUACUGAUUCUCACCAUUCUAACAGGUGUCAGCUGUGAAGAUCUCACUCCAACCAACAAAGAAGUGUUCAGUGUAGAAGGCAGCACUGUUACUCUGUCCUAUAGAUACUCCAAAGCUGCUGAUGGUAGAGAUUCCUUCUUCUGGUAUCGACAAUAUCCUGGAAAAUCACCAGAGUUCCUGAUCUCUCACUUUAGAACAGGAGAGAUAAUAUUAAAUCCAGUCUCAGGAUUAACUACUGGAUCCUCUGAGGAUUUACUGACACCAUCUAAAGAUGUAGUGAUGAGUUUGGAAGGAGACACUGUGACUCUCUCCUGCAAAUAUUCAGGCUCUGAAACUUACUUCUUCUGGUACAAACAGAAACCUAAUUCACAUCCAGACUUUCUCAUCGCCUACUAUUCAGACAAAACAGAAAGGAUGAAGUUUAUACAUGACAAUCAAAAAAAGGAGUUUCAUCUGGAGAUCUCCUCUGCUGCAGUGACAGACUCUGCUGUGUACUACUGUGCUGUGAGGCCCACAGUG